rnacentral:rRNA from 1 species
UGGGGAAUAUUGGACAAUGGGCGGAAGCCUGAUCCAGCAACGCCGCGUGAGGGAUGACGGCCUUCGGGUUGUAAACCUCUUUCGGUAGGGACGAAGCGCAAGUGACGGUACCUACUAAAGAAGCACCGGCCAACUACGUGCCAGCAGCCGCGGUAAUACGUAGGGUGCGAGCGUUGUCCGGAAUUAUUGGGCGUAAAGGGCUCGUAGGCGGUUUGUCGCGUCGGGAGUGAAAACCAGGUGCUUAACACCUGGCUUGCUUUCGAUACGGGCAGACUAGAGGUAUGCAGGGGAGAACGGAAUUCCUGGUGUAGCGGUGAAAUGCGCAGAUAUCAGGAGGAACACCGGUGGCGAAGGCGGUUCUCUGGGCAUGACCUGACGCUGAGGAGCGAAAGUGUGGGGAGCGAACA